rnacentral:rRNA from 1 species
GAUGAACGCUGGCGGCGUGCCUAAUACAUGCAAGUCGAGCGAACGGACGAGAAGCUUGCUUUUCUGAUGUUAGCGGCGGACGGGUGAGUAACACGUGGAUAACCUACCUAUAAGACUGGGAUAACUUCGGGAAACCGGAGCUAAUACCGGAUAAUAUUUUGAACCGCAUGGUUCAAAAGUGAAAGACGGUCUUGCUGUCACUUAUAGAUGGAUCCGCGCUGCAUUAGCUAGUUGGUAAGGUAACGGCUUACCAAGGCAACGAUGCAUAGCCGACCUGAGAGGGUGAUCGGCCACACUGGAACUGAGACACGGCCCAGACUCCUACGGGAGGCAGCGGUAGGGAAUCUUCCGCAAUGGGCGAAAGCCUGACGGAGCAACGCCGCGUGAGGGAUGAAGGUCUUCGGAUCGUAAAACUCUGUUAUUAGGGAGGAACAUAUGUGUAAGUAACUGUGCACAUCUUGACGGUACCUAAUCAGAAAGCCACGGCUAACUACGUG